GGUUUCUGCGCCGAAGAUGUAACGGGGCUCAAGCCACGAGCCGAAGCUUAGGGUGCAUCGCAAGAUGCGCGGUAGCGGAGCGUUCUGUAAGCCUGCGAAGGGCGACCCGUGAGGGCGCCUGGAGGUAUCAGAAGUGCGAAUGCUGGCAUGAGUAACGACAAACACUGUGAAAGACAGUGUCGCCGAAAGUCCAAGGGUUCCUGCGUAAAGUUAAUCUGCGCAGGGUUAGCCGGCCCCUAAGGCGAGGCCGAAAGGCGUAGUCGAUGGGAACGGGGCGAACAUUCCCCGGCCAGCGGAUGGUGACGGAUGCCGUAAAUCGUUCGAGCUUAUCGGAUUGCUCGGGCGGUGAAGGGGUCCCAGGAAAUAGCCUCCGCGGAAGACCGUACCCGAAACCGACACAGGUGGACUGGUAGAGUAUACCAAGGCGCUUGAGAGAACGAUGCUGAAGGAACUCGGCAAUUUGCCUACGUAACUUCGGGAUAAGGA
rnacentral:rRNA from 1 species